GGUUAAGCGACUAAGCGUACACGGUGGAUGCCCUGGCAGUCAGAGGCGAUGAAGGACGUGCUAAUCUGCGAUAAGCGUCGGUGAGGUGAUAUGAACCGUUAUAACCGGCGAUUUCCGAAUGGGGAAACCCAGUGUGUUUCGACACACUAUCAUUAACUGAAUCCAUAGGUUAAUGAGGCGAACCGGGGGAACUGAAACAUCUAAGUACCCCGAGGAAAAGAAAUCAACCGAGAUUCCCCCAGUAGCGGCGAGCGAACGGGGAGGAGCCCAGAGCCUGAAUCAGUGUGUGUGUUAGUGGAAGCGUCUGGAAAGGCGCGCGAUACAGGGUGACAGCCCCGUACACAAAAAUGCACAUACUGUGAGCUCGAUGAGUAGGGCGGGACACGUGGUAUCCUGUCUGAAUAUGGGGGGACCAUCCUCCAAGGCUAAAUACUCCUGACUGACCGAUAGUGAACCAGUACCGUGAGGGAAAGGCGAAAAGAACCCCGGCGAGGGGAGUGAAAAAGAACCUGAAACCGUGUACGUACAAGCAGUGGGAGCCUCUUAAUGGGGUGACUGCGUACCUUUUGUAUAAUGGGUCAGCGACUUAUAUUCUGUAGCAAGGUUAACCGAAUAGGGGAGCCGAAGGGAAACCGAGUCUUAACUGGGCGUUAAGUUGCAGGGUAUAGACCCGAAACCCGGUGAUCUAGCCAUGGGCAGGUUGAAGGUUGGGUAACACUAACUGGAGGACCGAACCGACUAAUGUUGAAAAAUUAGCGGAUGACUUGUGGCUGGGGGUGAAAGGCCAAUCAAACCGGGAGAUAGCUGGUUCUCCCCGAAAGCUAUUUAGGUAGCGCCUCGUGAAUUCAUCUCCGGGGGUAGAGCACUGUUUCGGCAAGGGGGUCAUCCCGACUUACCAACCCGAUGCAAACUGCGAAUACCGGAGAAUGUUAUCACGGGAGACACACGGCGGGUGCUAACGUCCGUCGUGAAGAGGGAAACAACCCAGACCGCCAGCUAAGGUCCCAAAGUCAUGGUUAAGUGGGAAACGAUGUGGGAAGGCCCAGACAGCCAGGAUGUUGGCUUAGAAGCAGCCAUCAUUUAAAGAAAGCGUAAUAGCUCACUGGUCGAGUCGGCCUGCGCGGAAGAUGUAACGGGGCUAAACCAUGCACCGAAGCUGCGGCAGCGACACUAUGUGUUGUUGGGUAGGGGAGCGUUCUGUAAGCCUGUGAAGGUGGCCUGUGAGGGUUGCUGGAGGUAUCAGAAGUGCGAAUGCUGACAUAAGUAACGAUAAAGCGGGUGAAAAGCCCGCUCGCCGGAAGACCAAGGGUUCCUGUCCAACGUUAAUCGGGGCAGGGUGAGUCGACCCCUAAGGCGAGGCCGAAAGGCGUAGUCGAUGGGAAACAGGUUAAUAUUCCUGUACUUGGUGUUACUGCGAAGGGGGGACGGAGAAGGCUAUGUUGGCCGGGCGACGGUUGUCCCGGUUUAAGCGUGUAGGCUGGUUUUCCAGGCAAAUCCGGAAAAUCAAGGCUGAGGCGUGAUGACGAGGCACUACGGUGCUGAAGCAACAAAUGCCCUGCUUCCAGGAAAAGCCUCUAAGCAUCAGGUAACAUCAAAUCGUACCCCAAACCGACACAGGUGGUCAGGUAGAGAAUACCAAGGCGCUUGAGAGAACUCGGGUGAAGGAACUAGGCAAAAUGGUGCCGUAACUUCGGGAGAAGGCACGCUGAUAUGUAGGUGAGGUCCCUCGCGGAUGGAGCUGAAAUCAGUCGAAGAUACCAGCUGGCUGCAACUGUUUAUUAAAAACACAGCACUGUGCAAACACGAAAGUGGACGUAUACGGUGUGACGCCUGCCCGGUGCCGGAAGGUUAAUUGAUGGGGUUAGCGCAAGCGAAGCUCUUGAUCGAAGCCCCGGUAAACGGCGGCCGUAACUAUAACGGUCCUAAGGUAGCGAAAUUCCUUGUCGGGUAAGUUCCGACCUGCACGAAUGGCGUAAUGAUGGCCAGGCUGUCUCCACCCGAGACUCAGUGAAAUUGAACUCGCUGUGAAGAUGCAGUGUACCCGCGGCAAGACGGAAAGACCCCGUGAACCUUUACUAUAGCUUGACACUGAACAUUGAGCCUUGAUGUGUAGGAUAGGUGGGAGGCUUUGAAGUGUGGACGCCAGUCUGCAUGGAGCCGACCUUGAAAUACCACCCUUUAAUGUUUGAUGUUCUAACGUUGACCCGUAAUCCGGGUUGCGGACAGUGUCUGGUGGGUAGUUUGACUGGGGCGGUCUCCUCCUAAAGAGUAACGGAGGAGCACGAAGGUUGGCUAAUCCUGGUCGGACAUCAGGAGGUUAGUGCAAUGGCAUAAGCCAGCUUGACUGCGAGCGUGACGGCGCGAGCAGGUGCGAAAGCAGGUCAUAGUGAUCCGGUGGUUCUGAAUGGAAGGGCCAUCGCUCAACGGAUAAAAGGUACUCCGGGGAUAACAGGCUGAUACCGCCCAAGAGUUCAUAUCGACGGCGGUGUUUGGCACCUCGAUGUCGGCUCAUCACAUCCUGGGGCUGAAGUAGGUCCCAAGGGUAUGGCUGUUCGCCAUUUAAAGUGGUACGCGAGCUGGGUUUAGAACGUCGUGAGACAGUUCGGUCCCUAUCUGCCGUGGGCGCUGGAGAACUGAGGGGGGCUGCUCCUAGUACGAGAGGACCGGAGUGGACGCAUCACUGGUGUUCGGGUUGUCAUGCCAAUGGCACUGCCCGGUAGCUAAAUGCGGAAGAGAUAAGUGCUGAAAGCAUCUAAGCACGAAACUUGCCCCGAGAUGAGUUCUCCCUGACCCUUUAAGGGUCCUGAAGGAACGUUGAAGACGACGACGUUGAUAGGCCGGGUGUGUAAGCGCAGCGAUGCGUUGAGCUAACCGGUACUAAUGAACCGUGAGGCUUAACCUU
rnacentral:rRNA from 1 species